rnacentral:rRNA from 1 species
CACGUAGGGCGCAAGCGUUGUCCGGAAUUAUUGGGCGUAAAGAGCUCGUAGGCGGUCUGUUGCGUCCGCUGUGAAAACUCGGGGCUUAACCCCGAGCCUGCAGUGGAUACGGGCAGACUAGAGGUAGGUAGGGGAGAAUGGAAUUCCCGGUGUAGCGGUGAAAUGCGCAGAUAUCAGGAGGAACACCGGUGGCGAAGGCGGGUCUCUGGGCCAAAACUGACGCUGAGGAGCGAAAGCGUGGGGAGCGAACAGG